rnacentral:rRNA from 1 species
UACGUAGGUCCCGAGCGUUGUCCGGAUUUAUUGGGCGUAAAGCGAGCGCAGGUGGUUUAUUAAGUCUGGUGUAAAAGGCAGUGGCCCAACCAUUGUAUGCAUUGGAAACUGGUAGACUUGAGUGCAGGAGAGGAGAGUGGAAUUCCAUGUGUAGCGGUGAAAUGCGUAGAUAUAUGGAGGAACACCGGUGGCGAAAGCGGCUCUCUGGCCUGUAACUGACACUGAGGCUCGAAAGCGUGGGGAGCAAACAGG